UUUUUUUGGUGGGGAAGGGGACAUUGUAAAACUACAAAUUCCCAAGACAUCUCCCCCAUAGGCUGAAUCGGGAAGUCUAGGUAGGACCUACUUACCAGCUCUAAUCUCUCUAUACCUCAAUUUCCUCUUCUGUAAAAUGGGAAUAAUGCAGUUACUUUCUGUUAAAAUGAUGAUGAGGAUUACAUGAGUCAGUAGUGUGAAACUUAUUAGAACAGUACCUAGCAUGUGGUAUGUACUGAAUAAAUCUUAGUUACUAUAAAUAUCAUUAUUUCAUAUUAUUAUUAUUAAGCCCCUAAGGUAGAUUUAAAGCAUUUGCCCCACAGACCACACCUUGAAAAACAGUGACUUAAUGGCAUGGUGGUCCAGUAUAAGUAAGGGAAUUUAAUAAAAAAUGAUCUUCACAAAGGGAUUUGUGCUCCAUCGUAAGUUGUGAGUCAGCAGAACACAAAUAGUAUUAAAACCAAGAGGGGAAAAAGCAAUGGCUUUUAGACAGAUUCAAGUAAAAGACCAAAACCAUAGCGGAAGCAUACCUGUCACAGAGUGAUUGGAAAUGUUGAAGGAGGGGUCAAGAAGAAUGUAGUAACAUAAGCCAAGUCCCAUGAAAAAUACUACAGUGAAGACAUUUGACAUUAAUAUCAAAUACAGAGAAGAGAUUUUUUUUUUCCUUUUGCCACAGGAGAUUUUGGAAGUUGAGAAGUGGAAGGGGUGAUAUAUCCAAAUAUUCACGGGCAUUCUCUCAGACACCCUGCAUGCAUUGUUACCAGCGUGCUGAAGGCUGAACCCCUUCUCCCGCCAGCACUGGCUCCUCUUUUUCUGGAAUUCCUUAAUGGGGUACCAUUCCCACAGAGCCUGUCACCCAGCUAGAGAGCUGAGCCAGCCAUCUUUAACACCCACUGUUUUCAUGCCACCUCCCCCCCCCCACCCCCCCAUCCCAUGUCAGUCAGUCAUUAGGUUCUGCCAGUUUUACCUUCUAAAUCUUUCUGGAUUCUGUCCUCUCCUCUUCCCCUGCACCCACUGGCCUGAUUCGGGCCCUUCCUAACUCUCCGAAGCCCUAGAUCCUACCAGGUCUCAGUGCCUCCGGUCUUCCCUGUGUCACAGACCUUCUCAGGAGGCCAGGCCUGAAUUCUCCAAAACCCAGAUCUCUUUUGUUUAAAAUUCUUCAGCAGAAUUCUGAUCUGAGCAAGAUGGAAGUAGUAGGGUAUUUCUUCUUAAUUUCCCUAAAAGCCUUUUUAAAAAAAUAGAGAGCAAGCAGGAUAAAACAAGGAAAAAUCCUCAGCAUCUUCGAUGCUACCAGGCCACAGGUGCCUCCAAGAACUCCAGAGAAAGGAGUGACUCAGCCAGACAGCCAGCAGCAGCAGCACCUACACAGUAGUUCCAAAGAAGGUAGCCAGGGGAAGAAAGGGGGUAGUUCUGGUGAUCCUAAGAAUCAGAAGUCACAGCGACAGGGCUCCGCUCUGAGGCGCAAGCCCCAGCAGACGUGUCUGAGAACCGCUGAUGAAAGCACAGACUGUGAUUUAUCAACAGCCAACACAGAGACCUGAGAAGCCUGUUCAGGAGCUUCAGAGAGCACAGUAGGUGAUGGGGCAGCUCAGCCCCGAGGCUUCAGUAGCACACAUGUGCACACACACUCAGCCUGGAAGCCCGCAUCUUACUUAACAGAUAAAUGUGAAGACGGAGCAGAGCUGCCCUAUUUAAAGUCAUGCUGCAGGUAUUGGCCCAAGCAGUUUGAUAAGAAAAAGCAGUACGAUGAAUAAGACUUGGAGAAGUAGGUCUGUUUUCAGUUGAUAGGACUGUCUAUCAGAAAAUCCCAAAAGGAUCAAUGGAACCCUACUAAAACAAGGGAACAACCUAGUAAAGGAGCAGGAUAUAAAAUGCAUGUACAGAAGAAAAAUCAAAAAAUAUAAUGGGAUGGAAGGCAGUGUUUAUGGCUGGAUGGGUAGGUGGGUGGCUCAAUCCUGGUAUGAGCAUAACUAACAAGUACUGUGUAAAACCCACAAGAAGAAACAUACAAAACGCUCCUGACAUACCUUGUUCUUGUUGAAGAUAAACAUUCAGUACAAUGAAGCUGUCAGUUCUCCCAAAGGUCAUUCAUACAUUUAACUGCAUCUAAAUAAAAUUACCUUCAGAUAUUUUUCUGGGAUUAAAUAUAAGGUAAUUAUAAAAAUCACAUGGAAGAAUAAGUAAGGAUAACCAGGGGAAAAAAACCCUUAAAAAGAAAAGCAGCGAUGGGUGCCUAGCCACACCAAGUUUUAUAAUACAUAUUAAAGCCUCUUAUUUAAAAGAAUGUUUAGGGACACCUGGGUGGCUCAGUUGGUUAAGCAUCUGACUCUUGAUCUCAGCUCAGGUCUUGGUCUCAGGGCCGCAAGUUCAAGCCCUGUGUUGGGCUGUACUGUGGGUAUGAAACCUAUUUAAAAAAAUAAUAAAAGCCUACAAAUAAACACACCAAUAGAACAAAAUGCAAAACCCAAAAAUAAACACACAACUGCAUGUAGAAAUUUAAGCACAGUAUACAAUAAAAAGCAUCAUCUCAAAUCAAUGGGGAAGGAUGAACAUUUUUAAUAAAUGGUUGUGGGGCAACUGGAAAAAAAGACAAAAUCAGAUCGAUUUCUUACAUUGUGCAGCAGAAUAAAUUUCUGAUGAAUCAGAGAUCUAAUUGUAAAUGGUAAAACUACAAAGAUUAGAAGAAAAUGUGGGCUAAAUUUUCCUUUAUGGUGGGGCACAUGGAAAACUUUGAAUUAUGGCUCAGAAUACAGUACAAUAAAAAAUGAUAAAUUUGGCUAUAUGUUUUAAUUUUUUAAAGGGAAAACGAAGGACAAACUAAAAUGAGACAUUUGUGACUUAUAUUACAAAGGGUUUUGGUUCCAUAGUGUAGCGGUUAGCACAUCUGCUUUACAAAGGGUUUAGCAGCCCUGAUAUAUAAAGAAGACUGAAAUCCCGAUAGAAAAAAAAAAAUGGACAAAUAAAAAAAUGGAUAGUUCACUUAGAAAAAUGCAAAUGGUACUUAAAUUUGGCAAAAAAAAAAAAUUCUGAGAUUUGACCACGUUCUCUCUUGACUAGGUGGUGGGGAAACCAGCAUUCUCAUACACUGAUGAUGACAAUGCAAAACAGUUCCAGGCGGGGGAGGGGCGUGGGCGAAGGGGCUGGAAUUUGUAAUAUCCAGCAGAAAUGCAUAUGUGCUUACCAGUUGUCUUAGUAACCUCACUUGUACCAAUGUAGCCUUACAAAAGUGAAAAAAGACAUCUAUACAGUACUAUCCAUCUUGAUAUUCUUUAUACUAUCAAGACAAACCACCCAAAUGUCCACCCGUAGGAGUCUGCUUGAAUAAACUAGAACUCUCCACCGUGGAAUAACUCUGAAUGCACUGAAGUAGAAGGUAGCUGUAGAAGAGAAGGGGAAUCUGAAGGUCUUGGUUUGCUGCCUCUGGAGUGACCUCUUGGUACAGAAUAGUUUUAGUGUACCAGCUGAUGGUAAGAAAGAGCUUUGAAAAUACAUCCAUAUAAAUGGGUAUUCAUAUCACGUAUGUACACACAUGCAUAUGCGUUUCCUUUUAUUUCCAAAAGGAAACAAUAUGAGGAAAAAGCAGAAUUAUCCUAAAGAGCUCUUACGUUAGGGGGAAGGGAACUAGGAGGAACUAGGGAUGGAAAUGAGACUUCCCUGUACCUGGUUUUAUAGUUUUGACUCUGGAGCCACGUGCCUGUUUAAAAUAAUUUAAACAGAAGACAAAAUUAUCAAAAUUGAAAAUAAAUGGGAACAAAUGAAGCUAAAUAUAUUUCAAGAGGCAUACCCAUAUGGAGAAAGGAGUUAUUUCAGGGGACUGUUUUUGGACAGUCCAUGUCGCUGGAAUAUAGUCUGAGGAUUCAAAAAAAAAACAGCUGCAUUUAAUAGUCUUACUGUUGUAUUGAUUGUUAUUUGAAAUUAUCAUAUAUAUAUAUAUAUAUAUAUAUCAGGAUAAAGCAAAUAAGUAAUUAUGUUGAUGAUGUUAGGAACCAAGAUUUUCAGAGUAAGAAAAUAUUAAAAUUAAAAACAUUAAGUGAUGACACUGUAGUCUUAUUUUUGAAUUGGAAAUAGUGUGAACUCCUUCCUGGCUUAUUUUCCUUUUCCUAAAAACUACAGAGCUCCUCUGUCCAUGUAAUGACAACCCAGUAACAGUGACUACCUGUUUAUAGAAGAAUUCCAACUAAUAAAUGUAUAAGGAAUGGCAAAGUUAGAAAAUUAACUAGAAAUUAAUUAGAAAAUUAACUGAGCCUGGGUGACUCAGUCAGUUAAAUGUCUGACUUUGGCUCAGGUCAUGAUCUCGAGGUUCAUGGGUUCGAGCCCCGCGUUGGGCUCUGUGCUGACAGCUCAGAGCCUGGAGCCUGCUUCGGAUUCUGUGUCUCCCUCUCUCUGCCCCUCCCCCACUCAUGCUUGCGCACGCUCUCUUUCUCUCUCUCUCUCUCUCUC